rnacentral:rRNA from 1 species
GACGAACGCUGGCGGCGUGCCUAAUACAUACAAGUCGAACGCACUCUCGUUUAGAUUGAAGGAGCUUGCUCCUGAUUGAUAAACAUUUGAGUGAGUGGCGGACGGGUGAGUAACACGUGGGUAACCUGCCCUAAAGUGGGGGAUAACAUUUGGAAACAGAUGCUAAUACCGCAUAAAACCUAACACCGCAUGGUGUAGGGUUGAAAGAUGGUUUCGGCUAUCACUUUAGGAUGGACCCGCGGUGCAUUAGUUAGUUGGUGAGGUAAAGGCUCACCAAGACCGUGAUGCAUAGCCGACCUGAGAGGGUAAUCGGCCACACUGGGACUGAGACACGGCCCAGACUCCUACGGGAGGCAGCAGUAGGGAAUCUUCCACAAUGGACGAAAGUCUGAUGGAGCAACGCCGCGUGAGUGAAGAAGGUUUCGGUAUCGUAAAACUCUAGUUGUUGGUAGAAGAUGUAUCUGAUAGUAACUGAUCAGGUAGUGACGGUAGU